UGCACACAUGUGACGUUUAGUUUUAAUGAUGAUGAUCCCGCUGAUAUCCCUCCGCCGGGACUACUUUCUCUCUGUGCUGCUGCGUGGCCACGGCUCUGAUGAGUUAAUUAGCGGCAGCUGUGCGCGUUCCCGACACGCCGCCGACGGAGAGAGAUGUUUAAGGUUCUAAUGGAGAACUGUCUCCAUCGUGGAGAUGCAGCUCAGCUGGUUUCUUUGUUGCGUCGUGAAGGACUCACCACCACCACCGUCACCAGGCUGGACAUACUGGUUACCAAGGACCUGUGUGGAUCUCACUUCAGCAGAGUUCUGGUGGUUUUAAAGUCUUUAAUGAUUUUGUCUGAAAACAGAAAUGACCUGCAGACGCUCCUCAGCCUCGGACUGACAGCAAAGGUGUUGCUGUGGUUCGAGGCGGUCGCUGACCUGCUGACCUCUGACCUCCACAGAGGCUCCGCACCCCUGCUGAGUCUCACUGAGGUGAUGUUUGACUACUUCCUGAUGUUGGGUCAAGAUUCUCUCCCAGUCAGUCAGCUGUCUGUGGUUCUUCUUCAGUUGGCUCAAUUCACUCUGGAACCUGAAAUCAACUUCCCUCUGAGACUGCAGUCCAUCAAAACCUUCAACAGCAUCGUGGAGUCUCUGAGCCGAGAACAGAGGAGGGAGAUCCAGAACGAGAACAACCAGAUCCUCUCUCAGGUGGCAGCAGCCGUUCUCACAGUUGGAGACUACGAGCUGCAGGCAAGCCUAUCAGAGGUUCUGUGUCGUCUGACUCCACGCAGGGAGAGACAGCAGAGAGCCAAUCAGUGGUUCUCCAACCGUGACAUCAGCGAUGCCUUCUGUGACAUCAGAGACGCAGAGUUUGAGGUGGACUGCAGACGUUUCCUGAACUUCGUUAACUGUUACCAUGGAGACCAGAGACGGGUCUACACCUUCCCCUGCCUGAGAGCCUUCCUCAGCUCCACCCAGCUGUUUGCACCAAAAGACGACAAACUGGAUGAGUUCUGGAUCGACUUCAACGUGGGCUCAGGAUGUGUGAGUUUCUUCAUCGAUGAACCUCAGGGUUUUCUGUGGGGAUCCAUCCACCUGCUAAAGGAGGACGUGGAUCAUUACAGCUUGCAGGACAAAGAUGACGAGACGGUCCUCAGCGUCCAGCUGAACAAUCCCAUCAUGCACCAGGACAGCAGAGGACAGACGGUGGAGCUGAGCUUCAGCUGUGGACUUCACAGAGAGCUGGAGGAGGCAGCUGGGAGGGUCUUCAUGAAAGUGCAGCGGUCCCCUCAUCCUCCAGAUGGUGGUCCGGUCCAGGCCUCCCCCUCAGCAGGCAGACUCAGUGGUCGAUCCUACAGCCGCAAGAAAGCACCGAGCAAGAGUCAGCUGAGGAUUUUACCGCUGUCGCCUCCGAGGAGCGAAGAAGACUUCGCCGUAUUGACGCUGAAAACCAGAAACAGAGGAGAGAUCCUGUUUGAUCAGAUCAGAAACUCCACUCCUACCACAGCCCACUCUGGUUUCCAGGUAAAUGCUGAUCUGACUGAUAAUGUCGACGCCCCUGAAGCCCACCUGUCUGGUUCCACACCACCCGACUCAGGUGUUCCUGAGUGCGUGGAGCUCCAGGUCUCCAAGGAGUUCAGACGAAGCCACUCUCCAUCAGAAAAGCAGGUGUUCAGGAAGAGAGAAGUUCCAGAUUCAGGUUACCUGUCAGACCAGACUGAGGGCACACCUGUCCACAAGAGGAGGGUGGAGCCUCAGCAGGAGGGGGAGGAGUCUAACUCAGCUCUCACAGGGGUGGAGCCAACUGUGGAGAGUCAAUUCUAUGAAGGGGCGGAGCCUGUGUCAGACAUCAUGGCUUCCAUCAGGACCUUCAGAGCAGAGCAGGAGCAAUACUUCACUGGCAGCUGGCACCGAGUGGAAGCUGAAGUUCUUCAUUCUCUGAACAAGUGUCAUCAAAACGUUUCCUCGCUGCUCAACGCUGUCCAUCAACACAGGUUGUCUUUGCUGCAGAGCUUUGAGAGCAGCGUCUCUGAUCAGCUGACCCAACUGGAAGAAAACUCAACUAACCUGAACUCCAUCAACACUCAGUUCCUGAGUCUCUUCCAGUCUGAGAUGCAGCGACUCUGCACCUUCUGCAACGAACACCUGCACAGGUUGAAGUCUCUGAAAGGUGAGAAGUCGGGGGCGGAGCAUCGGUCCAGCCAAUGACGGGGACCAGAAGAAGCUGUCCAAUAAGGAAAAGCCUUUGUCCAGUUUGGUGUUCAGACUGGAAGAACUGGUCCCACUGUUGCCAUGGUGACAGGAAGUCUGGCAGGAUGCAGUGAUCUUAAUGGGCCACCAGGUGGAGGCAGAACAUCCACAGUGAUUCAGAGAAGAACCUGAUCAGCUGCUGCCCUCAGCUGCUGGUCGUCAGGCAGCAAAGUGACACCAGAGGAAAAACAGAAGAAUCCCCAUGACAGCAGACUAAUGAGAGGAGGCAGAGCUGCUCAGGUGUUUCACUGCUCAGAAACAUCUCAGCACCAGCACUCGUCUGGAU